rnacentral:rRNA from 1 species
GACGAACGCUGGCGGCGUGCUUAACACAUGCAAGUCGAACGGAAAGGCCCUGCUUUUGUGGGGUGCUCGAGUGGCGAACGAGUGAGUAACACGUGAGUAACCUGCCCUUGACUUUGGGAUAACUUCAGGAAACUGGGGCUAAUACCGGAUAGGAGCUCCUGCUGCAUGGUGGGGGUUGGAAAGUUUCGGCGGUUGGGGAUGGACUCGCGGCUUAUCAGCUUGUUGGUGGGGUAGUGGCUUACCAAGGCUUUGACGGGUAGCCGGCCUGAGAGGGUGACCGGCCACAUUGGGACUGAGAUACGGCCCAGACUCCUACGGGAGGCAGCAGUGGGGAAUAUUGCACAAUGGGCGGAAGCCUGAUGCAGCAACGCCGCGUGCGGGAUGACGGCCUUCGGGUUGUAAACCGCUUUCGCCUGUGACGAAGCGUGAGUGACGGUAAUGGGUAAAGAAGCACCGGCUAACUACGUGCCAGCAGCCGCGGUGAUACGUAGGGUGCGAGCGUUGUCCGGAUUUAUUGGGCGUAAAGGGCUCGUAGGUGGUUGAUCGCGUCGGAAGUGUAAUCUUGGGGCUUAACCCUGAGCGUGCUUUCGAUACGGGUUGACUUGAGGAAGGUAGGGGAGAAUGGAAUUCCUGGUGGAGCGGUGGAAUGCGCAGAUAUCAGGAGGAACACCAGUGGCGAAGGCGGUUCUCUGGGCCUUUCCUGACGCUGAGGAGCGAAAGCGUGGGGAGCGAACAGGCUUAGAUACCCUGGUAGUCCACGCUGUAAACGGUGGGUACUAGGUGUGGGGUCCAUUCCACGGGUUCCGUGCCGUAGCUAACGCUUUAAGUACCCCGCCUGGGGAGUACGGCCGCAAGGCUAAAACUCAAAGGAAUUGACGGGGCCCCGCACAAGCGGCGGAGCAUGCGGAUUAAUUCGAUGCAACGCGUAGAACCUUACCUGGGUUUGACAUGGAUCGGGAGUGCUCAGAGAUGGGUGUGCCUCUUUUGGGGUCGGUUCACAGGUGGUGCAUGGCUGUCGUCAGCUCGUGUCGUGAGAUGUUGGGUUAAGUCCCGCAACGAGCGCAACCCUUGUUCACUGUUGCCAGCACGUUAUGGUGGGGACUCAGUGGAGACCGCCGGGGUCAACUCGGAGGAAGGUGGGGAUGACGUCAAGUCAUCAUGCCCCUUAUGUCCAGGGCUUCACGCAUGCUACAAUGGCUGGUACAGAGAGUGGCGAGCCUGUGAGGGUGAGCGAAUCUCGGAAAGCCGGUCUCAGUUCGGAUUGGGGUCUGCAACUCGACCUCAUGAAGUCGGAGUCGCUAGUAAUCGCAGAUCAGCAACGCUGCGGUGAAUACGUUCCCGGG